rnacentral:misc_RNA from 1 species
AAAAAAAAAAAAAAAAAAACAGUAAAGAAAUGUAACUUGACUUGUUAUGCACUUCAUAGCAUUUCACUCCUGCUCCAAGGAAAAAAGCCUUCAAAAUGGUCGAAAUAAUUUUAUAUUACUCUUCAAUUAUUGAUGAACUAAAAUAAAAUAGCUAAGGUGCAUUAAUUUUGUUUUUCCAAGUUAAAUUAACCGCAUAACAUUCUAAUCAAACAUGAGAGCACCGUUUCAAAGAAGAA